rnacentral:rRNA from 1 species
UACGUAGGGGGCGAGCGUUGUCCGCAGUUACUGGGCGUAAAGCGCGCGUAGGCGGGUCUUUAAGUGAGGGGUGAAAGGUUCGGGCUCAACCCGGACACUGCCUUUCAUACUGGGGAUCUUGAGUGCGGGAGGGGCGAGUGGAAUGGUCGGGGUAGCGGUGAAAUGUGUAGAUAUCAGGAGGAACACCUGUGGCGAAAGCGGCGCACUGGACCACAACUGACGCUGAGGCGCGAAAGCUAGGGGAGCAAACAGG